GACGAACGCUGGCGGCGUGCUUAACACAUGCAAGUCGAACGGAAAGGCCCUGCUUGCAUGGUACUCUAGUGUCGAACGGGUGAGUAACACGUGGGUGAUCUCCCCUCCACUUCGGGAUAUGCCUGGGAAACUGUGUCUCAUACCGGAUAUGAGCCCUCCUUCGUCUUAUGGUUGGUAAGUUUUUUGGGUGUAGGAUGAGCUCGCUGCCUAUCAGCUUGCUGGUGGGGUAAUGGGCUACCAAGGCGGCGAAGGGUAGCCGGCCUGGGAGGGUGGACGGGCACAAUGGGGAUGGGAAACGGGCCAGAAUCCUAAGGGAAGCAGGAGUGGGGGAUAUUGCAAAAUGGGGGGAAGCCUGAUGGAACGAAGCCGGGUGGCGGGUGAAGGGCUUCGGGUUGUAAACUCCUUUUGCUAGGGACGAAGCUGUGUGUGACGGUAACUAGAUAAGAAGCACCGGCUAACUACGUG
rnacentral:rRNA from 1 species